rnacentral:lncRNA from 1 species
UACAACUUCAAUGCACACCAAAACAGGGAGAUCUCUUAUCUCAUUCAGAGGCUACCAAGUGUAAAUUCUGCUCUGGAGAGAACAUUCCUGGGUCCAACCCAUAGUGACCCUGACAUUCACAUGGACUGACAGUUUCCUUUUCUUCCAGCCUCUGAGAAAAGAUUGCGCACCUUUACUUUGCAGUCUAGUGGCUUCAUAAAACCCAUUAAAUCUAAAUUUAACAUACUCUUUCAGAAAGUUCAGCUGUGUUUACUUAGGUUCCCAGAAUUCCAGGCCACUGAGGGCAAACUUUGAGAAUCACAGGUGCAAGGGACUUUUAAAUCAACUUGGCCUCAAUGUUUCCUUUAGGAGAAUUUUCUCUGUCUGGUGGAAGCCACAGUGCAUUAGCCACAGAGGAAUCCACCAUUUCCUGGCUCUGAGUACUUGGGCAAAUGACAUAACCAUUCUGUGCCUCAGUUUUCUCAUCUAUAAAAUGGAGCUAUUACCACUACUUACCUCAUAGAAAUAUCAGGAAAAAUUCAAUAAACCCAUUCAAAAGCACAUAGAGACACAUUUGGCAUAUGGUAUAUUCUAUUUAAGUGUUAGUUAGUACUCCUGGUUAAGUACAGGAAGUACAUAUCUCAUCUUGGGCCUUUGGAGGAAGCUGCUUCCUCCCAUCCUAGAUAGAAUGAGACUAGUUAAGGAAUUGGUCACCAGCAUCAAGGUGCCAUCUAGGAAUACCAUCAGCCUGCAAAGAGUCCCCCAUUACACUCCAGCUACCACUUUCUUUAGUGUGCCGCCCAAUUGUGUUUGAGUGAAUUUGAGAGAUGGGAGAAGUUGAACAGCAUCAGAGUUUCAAACUUCUCAUGUAAGUGGGUGGCAAAUGGUAGUUUUUUCUUCCCCAGGAUAAAGAUCUUGACAACCAUGUGUCUUUACACUGAAAGGCAGGGCUUCUGUAGGUAGCUGCUUCAUCAAUAUUAAAGAAAGUUAUGACUCCCAAGAGUAUUUCAUGUCCUAAUCUGCAGAACUGUAAUUAUAUGGAAAAGAGAUGUUAAAAUGUGAUUAGGGUUACUACUGAUUUUAAAAUAGGGAGACUAUGCUGGAUUAUCUGUGUGGGCCCAAUGAAAUCACUCCAAUAAAAGAGUAAGCACUUUACAGCAGAGGGAAAAGAGGAAGUCAGAGAGAUGAAAAAGGGGAAGCAGAGGAUUUGACAUUAGCUUGAAUAUGGAGUGGGGCACAUGUCAAAAAAACCCGAUGACCCUAGUCAUACAACAACAAGGAACUGAAUUCUGACAAUAACCAGUGAGCUUGGAAGAAGAUUCUGAGCCCUGAAUGACAACCACAACCCCAUUUGAUAUCUUGAUUUUAGUUCAGUGAGACCCUAAGAAGAGAAUCCAGCCACAUUAUGCUGAAUGUGUGAUCUAAAGAAACUGUGAGAGAAUAAAUGGAUGAUGUUUUAAGCUGCUAAAUUUGUCAUAGCAGUAACAGAAAACUAACACAAUGCUCUGGGUCUCAAUUUGUAUGUCUGUGAAAUGGGGGCAAAAUGCCUUGUCUUGCUUACCUUUUGGGCUGUUAUGAAGACAAAAUGAUGGGUCCAAGAGGGCUCUGAAGUUUCAAGUUAUAAAACUGUUAUGAUAUUCUCCAACAGGGAAAAAAGUGCAUCUGUUUUGAAGCAAUUGGAUUGAAGCAAUUAAAAGCUUAGAGCUGACAUUUCCCAGAAGUGCUAAGGGUUUGGAGGGUUGCUUCUCCUCUCUUAGAGAAGCUGCAUAGUAUAGAUGCAAUCAGAAAACCUAGGUCCAGCUUUAUUUUCUACAUGCAUAUCCUUAGUCAUGUGUCACCUCUCUGAGCCUCAAUAAAAUGAGGGUAACCAUCUCUGGUCUGCCUAGAUGAUAUGGUUGUGUGAGGCUUGACUAAAGCAAUGACUGUAAACAUGUAAUGGGGACAAAGUACCGAGAUGGGAAGUCUAUUAGUCCUCUCCAGUGUGUGCUCUGCUGCUGGCAGCAGAUAUGAUUGGGUAAACUAGUCACCCAAAGAAAGUAGCAUUGAACUCUUAGCACCUGUUUUCUGCCAUUAUCUCUGGUAUGUGGCCUUAGACAAGUCCCUUCUCCUCUCUGGGUCUUUUUCCAUUUUAAGAGGUUAUAGUAUAGUCUAUGGUCUUCAGCUGAAAGGCUUCAGAAUCACCUGGAGAGAUGAAUGGCAAAUGGGGGAUAAGUAGUUCUCUUCUUUUUAUAUGCCCCUCCUACCCCCAAUAGACUAUCACCUAAAAGCUCAAGUCAGAGAAGUUUAUUAAAUCAUGCAAAGUAAGUCCUAUUUAGGAUAUAGGAAUUGAAUCCCAGGUUAUGUGGUUUCAAGCAACUGAUUCUCAAAUUUAAAAUUUUCCUAGCCAAUUUCAAGCUGAUUAACAAGAAUCAUGCCCCUCCUAGUUCCUUGCAGUUCCCAUUAAUAUUGCUUUGUCAUGACUGUGAGAUUUCCUCCCAGAAUCCCCCUUAUGCAAACUGAAGAUCCUAAACUAGGGCCAGAGAAAACCUUGUGGAUUUAUCUACGUUUUAGUUAAAUGUAAUCUGUAACAAAACCCAUAGCUGAGAAUAACAGAAUGUCAAAAUCUAAAUGGAAUUUUGAGACUAUCCUGUUUAAAAACAAUUUGAGGCCUAGAGAGAGGGAUGUACUUGGUAAGCAUUAAAGAAAAUCUGUGACAGAGGCAAAUCUAGACCCCUAGGGCUUCUGAAAGGAGUUCUUUCCACUGCUGCAUGUUGCCUUUCCACUGUCUUUAGUGGCCAGAGAUUUGAAAAUCUUUCCUUAGGUGGGUUUCACCAUUUUUUGAAGUGGAGAAACUUCAUUU